rnacentral:rRNA from 1 species
AACGAACGCUGGUGGCGUGCCUUAUACAUGCAAGUCGAGCGCGAAAGAUUUCUUCGGAAAUUGAUUAGAGCGGCGAACGGGUGAGUAACACGUGAGUAACCUACCUCCAAGUUGGGGAUAACUAUUCUAACGGAUAGCUAAUACCGAAUAUUGAGGUCAAUCGCAUGAUUGGUUGUCAAAAGGCUUCGGCCGUUUGGAGAUGGACUCGCGCUGCAUUAGCUAGUUGGUAGAGUAGUAGCCUACCAAGGCCAUGAUGCAUAGCCGGCCUGAGAGGGUGAUCGGCCACAUUGGGACUGAGAUACGGCCCAG